rnacentral:tRNA from 1 species
GGGGAUGUGACUCAGUGGUAGAGUGCUUGCCUGGCAUGUAGAUGUGAGGCCCUGAGUUCAAUUCCCCAGUAACCCCC